rfam:Termitomyces sp. J132 unplaced genomic scaffold scaffold154, whole genome shotgun sequence.
GGUGAGAUGGCCGAGCGGUCUAAGGCGCCAGACUAAGGUGUUGAUUAAGUACGUCAAAUAAUCUGGUCUCUUCGGGGGCGGGAGUUCGAAUCUCCCUCUCAUCA